CUGGCCUGCUGCGAAGUGGGAAGUGCCCUUGGAGGAGAGGACAGGCACAUGUGGGGGGCUCACCUGGAAAACAUCCCUCCUCUCAAGAAUGAUGUUACCUACGAUUUCUGGCUACUUUGGAUGUUCUCUAAUGCCUUCAGAGGAUCGAGGAAUGGAGUGCACUUUUUUUUAAAGAUGUGGAAAUGGAGCCCCAGAAGGCAAAGAUAUAACCAAGAGCACGCAGCUGAUGAAUGGAAGAACCCAAGCCACAUUGUGAUUCUUCUGAAUGUGUGUCCUGUGUUUUCCUCACUGCUGAAAUGAUAACCAUCUUACCAGGUGACUUGCAACAGGAGUUGUAUAUGUUAUUCUUGCUAUAACUUUGUACACAGACAGCAGAAGGAAAUGGGAACAUUUGCUCACCUCAUUCCAGUGUAUGAAUUCCAACGUGGAUUAUGGUGUUGAGGCCCCAUAUGUGGUAUUCAAGACUGAAGAGCCCAUUCUUUUGGAACUACACUGAUAUCUGAUUAUGGAGUUCUGAAAAUUUGCCUUGAUGGAAACUCUCGUCCAUUUGUGGUGGAGUUUGUCUAGAAAAACAUUUCCAUUGUCUAUCACUGGGCAAUAAAUGAGGAUUGGGAAGGCUGAAUCCAAAGCAGUGUAAUCAUGUUCCAGGGCAUUCCCACAGGACAUGGGGGCAAGAAGCAACACGAAUGGAUUGGAAAAAUAAAUUUGAAUUUCUGGAGGAACAUCCCAGAAAUAGCUAUGGUUAACUUUGGAGCAGACACCUGGUGAAUCAUUGUCUGAUAGGAGGGAUUGUUUUGGACGAGUGCACUCUGGUUGUGAUAUCCAGAUCAUCUUCUACCCAGUUCCGCCACACAGUGAGGACUUGCCUGCCACUGAGGGUCAGGAUUCUAACUCCCUCUAAUUGCUAUUCCCAUCUGCUGUAGAGGAAAAAAUCAACGUUUGUGGGUAUCUUUUUUUUUUUUUUUUAAUUUUUGACCAAAGCAGAAACAAAAUGAUAAAUAAUAUGCCUGGAGAAAAAUCACUUCUCUCUCAACCCUAAUACCAAAUAGUCAAACCAGUUGCAAGGGGACCAAUUCAGAAAGAAGAAAUAGAUUUGGUAACUGAAGCUUGACUCUUCCACUUCAGGGCUAACAUCAAACUCAGACAUCAAAUGGCUAAUAGAGGAUAUACCACUGGGGAGAAGAGAGACAGCAAGGUACAGGAAACCACACUUACUGUUUACCCAUGGCAUGCAGGCACCUUAACUAAUAUCUCUAAUGCCUACAGGAACCCUGUAAAAUAAGUAAAACUAUUCUAUUUGCAAACAUGGAAACUGAAACUCAGAGAGCUUCCAGAAUUUGCCCUAACCUAUGGCUGGCAAACAGGGAUUCAAGGAAAAUCUGUGAAUUGGAGGUCUUCGGGAGAGCCUGUCAACGGGUAAUGAUUUCUUAGCUUGGGUAAAUCUUGUAGGAAUGUAACUACCUGCAAAGGAAUUUUUAAAAUAUCAUCUCUGACAGCCAACCAGAACUACCAUAAAAAACAAAGAAGUCUUAUUAGUUUCAUAAACAUGGUAGGGAUUAUGACUGACAAUAACAAAAAUAUAAAUAUGUCCCGGGUUCCUUAAUUUGCUCAUAAUUAUUACUGCAUUUGUGACCCUAGCCCAAGUUGGCCAUUUUUUCGAGUCAUAGUGACAUACAUAAAUAGUAACAGACAGAAGAAAAUAUCAUUGUUUUUCAGGGUGAAUUAAAGAUGAAGAAACACACUUUUUUCAGAAUUGUGUAAUUUAUGCAAAGUAAUAUGGUGCAGAAUAACAUGAUGUCUGUAUUAGGCCUGCGCUGUAAGGGAAAGAGAAUU